rnacentral:rRNA from 1 species
UACGUAGGUGGCAAGCGUUGUCCGGAUUUACUGGGCGUAAAGAGCGCGCAGGCGGUCGUUCAAGUCGCGUGUGAAAGCCCCCGGCUCAACUGGGGAGGGUCACGCGAUACUGAUCGACUCGAAGGCAGGAGAGGGAAGUGGAAUUCCCGGUGUAGUGGUGGAAAUGCGUAGAUAUCGGGAGGAACACCAGUGGCGAAGGCGACUCACUGGCCCGAUACUGACGCUGAGGCGCGAAAGCGUGGGAAGCAAACAGGG